GGAUGCCAGACGUGCAGUCCAGGCACUGUGGCAGUUCCUGUUAAUAACACAGGAUGUCCAACAUGCAGGAACUUGAAGGAAAGGCAAGAAAACUGAGGAAAACUGCCUCUGUACCUUCUCUGGUACUGCCUGCAGGCCUCAGGGAGCUUGUUCUCUGGAUUCUUCCUGGUCCUAACACAGCAACUGAGAAUAUGCCAGCCCAGUCCUGCCCUCUUCUUCAAUGCUUACCUGGAGGCCAUGUGGAGCUUUGUGCCACCUGCUGGACUCCUGUUGUCCCAGCAUGAUGGCUUAGAAGAUGCAAGUCCCAGUCCUGCCUUCUUCUUCAGGACUUGCCUUGAGGCUACAGGGAGCUCAGGACCAUCCACUGGACUCCUAUUGUCCCAGCACAGCAGCUCAGAGGGCACUAGUCUCAGUCCUGCCUCCUUCAGAACUCACCUCAAGGCUGCAGGGCCCAUCCAUUGGAUUCUUCUGGUCCUAAUGCAGAAGCUUAGAAGAUGCCAGUCCUGCCCUCUUUUUGAGGGCUCAGCUGGAGGUCACAGGGAGCUCACGGCUGUCUGGUGGACUCCUCCCAUGGUCCUGGUGCAGAAGUAUAGAGGGCACCAGUCCCAGUUUCUCCCUUCUCCUCAGAGCUCGGGAAAGGAGAGAUGAGAGGUCUUGGGGAAGAAUGAGGAUGGGGAAGAAGGGCUUCUAGAGGGCAGCAGCUGGCCUAGGGGCUUUCUGGCAGAUGGUGACUGCUCAAUGCUGAGAUGGAAAUCGAGAGUCCCUGGUGCAUCACCAACAGAUGUAGCGACAUCUCCGGGCAAGCAUGGUGUCAGGCGUGAUGGAGGUGGGUCUCCCUCCAUUGGUGGUUUAUCUUCUGGAGGUGCGUCCACCUCCAUGGUCUCAAUGUUGCUCUCCAGUGGGUCUACAUCCAUUGGUUCAGCUUUGCUGAUGCUCUAUAGAAGACGAAGCUUCUUUGGUGGAGGAGGAUCCAUCCUUCUCCAGAAGGUUCCCACAAUGGGAGGAAAUGGUCUAUCCUAGGAGCUCCUUGUCUCAGGUAUAUGCUUUCCGGACAGAAGUCGGUUAGCAACUGGAGUGGCUGAAGUCCUCAGGUUUGCUCAGUGCAGAGCAGGCUGAUGGGAGGCCUAUGGCAGCUGCAGCUCUUCACAGGGAGUGGAGGGCAGCGCUCUGUAGGGACAGCGAUAGGGCCUGAGGGAAUGGAAUGGAGCUGUGUCAGGGGAGGGGCAGGUGGGGGUUAGGGACUGCACCAGAUGGUGGUGGGCAUGGCGUGGCAGUGGGCAUGGCUCCAAGCUGCUGCAGCUGAAGGAGCAUUUGCAUGUGGGUGGUCCCUUUGUGGAGCAGGGGUUGGACUUGACGACCGUCGUGGGUUCCUCCUAACUCGGGAUACUGUAUGUCCAACUAGUUUUGUAAGGGAAGGAAGCAAUGCUCCUCUUCACCCAAAAGUCCAGAUCAAGUUGCUUUCAUUUAGAACACAGAAGACCUCUAUUUCCUUCUACUGCUAGUGAAGAUCCACUCACCCAUGCCAGUAAGGAUUUUGGAAUCAGCCAUCUUUGUUGUUGUUGUUUCAUGGAAGUGUUCACUGAGUAGGAAUGACUCAAACCUGAUGAGUAAAUCGGGAACUGGGGUGAUAAGAAAACAAUCUCCAUCCUCUUAUACUUUGCUACUCUAAUACCUUUUUCUCAUUUUGGUUUAGCAGCCAACUUUGUUAAGAAAAAAAUAAUCAGGCUCAGAUUUUCCCAUAAUUCAUGAACAUAUUACAGAUGUGGUAACAGCGCCAAGAAAGCAGUUCCAGUACCAGUUCUAUGAACAGAAACUGCCAUGCAAAUACAGUUCAUUGUAAAGGAUAUAAAUUGAUCUAACAAUCUGAAAUGGUGCCACUUUCUCCUCAUUGUGAUUUGCCCGCAGUUGGUGAUAUCGCAGCACAAAUUCUGAAUAAUACUCUACUAAAGGAAAAAUGGCUUUAACAGCUUUCCUUCUUUUAUUUUUGUGUUAUUAGUUCCUUUCUUUUGAGAAAAUGAGAAUAUGAGAGAAUGCUUUUAACUUAGAACCAGAAUGUUCAUUUGUUUAUUCUUCAGUUAUUAUUAAAAUCUUCCCAAGAGUAAUUCACUGUGAUGUAACACAGUUAUUUUAUUAUAUCAAAGAAGGUGCAUCAUUUAACCCUUUCAGCACUAUUGUCAUUAUCAGUAGUUUCAGAACUACCUUGUUGAAGUCGUGCACAAUAUCUCUUUUUUUUCUCUGACCAGGACUGUGAGAGAAAGUGAUAUAGAGAGAAAAAAACAGAUCAAGCAGUAGCAUUCUCACAUUUCAUGUCAGAACAACCUGGCAAUUGCUUUCACAAGACUUCAACAAAUUCACAUGAAUUUCUGCCCCAUUUUUUUUUCUUGAGUAAGUAGAAAAUAUGACUCCAAACUUUACUGAGUAGAGUCAUUUUUCAACAAAAGUCUCUAGGACAUACACUGAAUCAGUAUUAAGUCACUUCUCACACUACUGAAGACUUCUGCCAAGUAUUACAACAGUGUCUGUCAUCAACUCAGUGGAACAAUGUUCUUUACUACUGAAUUACUGAAUUGGAUAGUAAUGGACAGAAAGCAAAACAGAACAGUUUUCCACAUGGAUUUUCUUUACUGUGUGAAGCACAGACAGUAGCGAACAUCUAGGAUUCAAUCUGUUCUUAGGUAAAUGAUAAAAAUGAGUCGACAAGACAAGGCGUAUGCCCUCUGUCACUGAUGUAAGAACAGGACAACUAGUUGCAGUAGAUAAUUGAGUAUGCAUAGUAUUAACUUCUAAAAUCAAUGUCUUAAAUGAGAAAAGAAUAAAAGGCUUAUGCCAUAAUGUUGAUCUACUAACUUUGUUUUGACGUAAGGUUACCAUAAAAAAACAUCUGGAAAGUGAACAUUUUCUUUAAGAUUAUCUGUUAAUAACAACUUAGACUUAGCAAUGGCUCUGUUUGCAGCCAUUUUCACUCUUGUAGAACCCAUCUGAUUCAAGCAUUUCUUGUAACUUUAAAUAGCUUUGAAUGUGUUCUGGCCUGAGGAGUCUGAGUAAUGUGAACAGUGCACAGUAAUGUGCAUUGAAGGGACACUGACUCUCCUUGAUUAUAAAUAUAUACUUUUUAUCUUGCAUGAUGGUAUAGUGAAUGUGUUUAAAAAAAUAAUUAAUGUUUGGGGUUAGUUCAUUUUAUUUCUUAAUUUACGGAGGCAUACCUUAACGUUUAAAAGUCUGGAAGCUUGUGCUUUUCUUUAGGAUUGCACGUUAGACUUUUCCUAUCAUCUCAACAAGGAAAAUGCAAACAAGUUGUAUAUGCCUAACACAAAAUAAUGGUAGAAACAGAUAAUCCCUUAGUGUUUAUACUUGUGCCAAAUUCCUAAGGUAUGAUACUGUAACAACAAACCACAUCAGACUAAAUGCAAUCAAUUUUACAAGCAUACCUUAUGGAAUACUUGAGUAAACUAUACAUGUGUUGAAUAGUGUUUGUUUUGCAGAUGUUCCUGUUUGUGCAUUCAUAGUUACAGGCUUCCCAUCUGAACUUACCCAUUCCACUAAAAUUUUGGCAGCAGCUCCAACGGCAAUGUCACACAGAUUGGUACUUGCUGUAUGUGUGUAGUGCCUCUAAGAAUAACAAAUAAUACUAAACAAACCUGUAACUACAAUGCUAAUGAGUAAGAUUUCCUCACUUAGCUAUAUAGUCUUUGCUGACAUACAAAAUUAGAACUAGCAAUUGCACCCCAAUUCCCAGGUUGCAUUCAAACAGAUCUGACACAAAUGGAGUGCUACUCAGGAGGGUUAAAAAAACCACAACAUUUAGGUAUAUUUUUAACAGUUGAUCAGCAGCACUAAAUCUAGAAUGAAACAGUAGGUUGGCUUAGGAUUUCAUGAUAAGAAGUAAGGUUGUUUAUAUGCCUUAAGAACAAAUUCUGCUAUUCUGGCAUAGCAAGGUUUCUGGAGUAUCAACUGAUUUCCCAGUAUCUGCACCUUCAGCCUUGAUACGGGAAUAUGAAGCAGUUCAACCAAACUAUCCGUGUUGCCCAAAACCCUGAUGGACCCUAUUUGCCUUUUAGCUACAUAUGGAUGAGAUGGCCGUGGUUAAGAAUGUGAAAGGAUCAACAAGCUAAAUAGCAUGGUGCCAGGGUGAGAAGAAAUCAGCAAGCUUUUGCAUACAUUGAUGCACUGUCUAAAGACAUGACAAUUGAAACAGUGUGAGGUUUUUUUCCUAACCCCAAGCUUUUUUUCCAUAAAAGAAAAAUGGUUACCAUCUUGACAACUGUUAUACCGGGCCUUCUGGCUACAGAAGUAAAUGACAGUCAUUUAUUGUACUAGUUCUUUUCCAGUCUCCAUUAAUUUUUUUUGUUACACUUGAGCAGAAGCAGUUGAAUGCAACUGCUACCUUAUUGAGAAAUGCAUGCCAGAGAAAAGCUCUAUGCUUCUCAGUGACAAUCCUCUAACUACUGUCUAUGUUGUUCCCUUAAAACCAUAAUGUACAAGAAAAUGCCUUCACUCAUAUUCGUCCUGCUGAAACUUUACCUCAGUUCCAUCCUGCAAGUUGUCAGUAAACAAUCUAUUUAUUAAUUAUCCCUCGAUAAGGCAUGCUUUGGGCUCCAUUUGCUGCCUGCUCUACUCACUUUCCCAUAUCCCACUUGAAAAAACCUCGUAGUUAGCUGACACCUCUUGCUCUGAAAUGCCUGAACGUGACAAGUAAAAUAAAAGCAAUAUGAACAAGUGCUGCUUGAUGUGUGGAAUAAAGUUGGUAAUUGCAUUCAUCAUUUCUAAUUAUCUACCUAUUAAGCUUGUCCAAGACGCUCAUCUAUCAACUAAGGGGCUCUUGGAAAGAAAUCCUUUGUAAUUAUGGGGGUUUAUUUACUAGCUUUCAUUCAUUUGUGAGUUGCAAAGUUGUGAAUGAUUAUUAAUCCUGCUCGGUAAACUUGGUUUGCUCCUAUAGCUUUGUAGUAUGGUGCAAAAAUGUGAUAUUCAAAUGUUUGCUCAAGGACUCAGGUAAUGGUCUUGCAGACCAGACUAUGCAGUCGUGUACCUACAGAAUGCACAAGGUUAAUAAAUC